GGGUGUCCCGUUUGGACUCCGUCCAAUUGGACUCGUCCCGAUUGGACUAUUCCGAUUGGACGCGUUCCUCUUCGACUCCGUGCCGAUUGGGCUCGUGCCGGUUGGACGCUGUUCCCAAUUGGACGCGUUCCUUUUCGACUCCGUGCUAUUUAGACACGUUCCUUUUCGUCUCCGGGCGAUUGGACUCAUGUUGACUUGGAAUCGUGACAUUUAUAAGCCGUAAAUAUAGUGCGUAUAAUAAACAUUGCUUUUUCAAUGCUACUUAUGGUGGUAUAGUAUUGUGAUCUAUAUAGUUAAAUAUGGUUUGAAAUUUAUUAAAUUUGGAUCUGAUACAAAAUGUUACGUGAUUUGUUUAUAACUUGUGUGUGAUAUUAUUACGUGGUUUUACAGAAGCGAAUAGGUAACGAAAAAGUUUCCGUGUCACCGUGGAAAAAGAAAUCUAAAAAUUCUGUUUAUAUAGGUUAGAGUGAGGGAUAGUUUACUGCCUGUUAUUAAUACAGUCAGACAUAAUUCUACCAGAUUCUGCAAGGAGUUAUGAACAGGAUACAGUAUUGUUGCCUUGUAUUACAUAUGUCCAUGCAUUAGAUCCAUAGUACACUUUACCAAUGCAAUAUGGCAAUGUACUUCUAUACCGCUAUCUUUUUAAUGUGAUACUUACCUAUUUCCAACAAGAAGUGGACCAUAAAGCAUCCUUCAAUGAGAAAGAUGAUUAAGAUGAUAAUAAAUCAGAUCAAUGAACGUGACACGGAACUCUUUUUAGUGGGAUUGUAUAUUUGAAG